GAUGAACGCUGGCGGCGUGCCUAAUACAUGCAAGUCGAGCGAACGGACGAGAAGCUUGCUUCUCUGAUGUUAGCGGCGGACGGGUGAGUAACACGUGGAUAACCUACCUAUAAGACUGGGAUAACUUCGGGAAACCGGAGCUAAUACCGGAUAAUAUUUUGAACCGCAUGGUUCAAAAGUGAAAGACGGUCUUGCUGUCACUUAUAGAUGGAUCCGCGCUGCAUUAGCUAGUUGGUAAGGUAACGGCUUACCAAGGCAACGAUGCAUAGCCGACCUGAGAGGGUGAUCGGCCACACUGGAACUGAGACACGGUCCAGACUCCUACGGGAGGCAGCAGUAGGGAAUCUUCCGCAAUGGGCGAAAGCCUGACGGAGCAACGCCGCGUGAGUGAUGAAGGUCUUCGGAUCGUAAAACUCUGUUAUUAGGGAAGAACAUAUGUGUAAGUAACUGUGCACAUCUUGACGGUACCUAAUCAGAAAGCCACGGCUAACUACGUGCCAGCAGCCGGGGUAAUACGUAGGUGGCAAGCGUUAUCCGGAAUUAUUGGGCGUAAAGCGCGCGUAGGCGGUUUUUUAAGUCUGAUGUGAAAGCCCACGGCUCAACCGUGGAGGGUCAUUGGAAACUGGAAAACUUGAGUGCAGAAGAGGAAAGUGGAAUUCCAUGUGUAGCGGUGAAAUGCGCAGAGAUAUGGAGGAACACCAGUGGCGAAGGCGACUUUCUGGUCUGUAACUGACGCUGAUGUGCGAAAGCGUGGGGAUCAAACAGGAUUAGAUACCCUGGUAGUCCACGCCGUAAACGAUGAGUGCUAAGUGUUAGGGGGUUUCCGCCCCUUAGUGCUGCAGCUAACGCAUUAAGCACUCCGCCUGGGGAGUACGACCGCAAGGUUGAAACUCAAAGGAAUUGACGGGGACCCGCACAAGCGGUGGAGCAUGUGGUUUAAUUCGAGGCAACGCGAAGAACCUUACCAAAUCUUGACAUCCUUUGACAACUCUAGAGAUAGAGCUUUCCCCUUCGGGGGACAAAGUGACAGGUGGUGCAUGGUUGUCGUCAGCUCGUGUCGUGAGAUGUUGGGUUAAGUCCCGCAACGAGCGCAACCCUUAAGCUUAGUUGCCAUCAUUAAGUUGGGCACUCUAAGUUGACUGCCGGUGACAAACCGGAGGAAGGUGGGGAUGACGUCAAAUCAUCAUGCCCCUUAUGAUUUGGGCUACACACGUGCUACAAUGGACAAUACAAAGGGCAGCGAAACCGCGAGGUCAAGCAAAUCCCAUAAAGUUGUUCUCAGUUCGGAUUGUAGUCUGCAACUCGACUACAUGAAGCUGGAAUCGCUAGUAAUCGUAGAUCAGCAUGCUACGGUGAAUACGUUCCCGGGUCU
rnacentral:rRNA from 1 species